UUGGCGGACGGGUGAGAAACGCGUGGGUAAUCUACCCUUGGAUUUGGGAUAACUUCGCGAAAGUGGAGCUAAUACCGGAUAGUCUGGCUUUAGAUAUAAGGUCGGUAAAGGAUGCCUCUGCAUAUGCAUUCGUCCAAGGAUGAGCCCGCGUCUCAUUAGCUAGUUGGUAGGGUAAUGGCCUACCAAGGCAACGAUGAGUAACUGGUCUGAGAGGAUGAUCAGUCACACUGGAACUGAAACACGGUCCAGACUCCUACGGGAGGCAGCAGUGGGGAAUAUUGCGCAAUGGGCGAAAGCCUGACGCAGCAACGCCGUGUGAGGGAUGAAGGCUUUCGGGUCGUAAACCUCUGUCGGAAGGGAAGAACGGGCAACGGUCUAAUAGGCCGUUGUUUUGACGGUACCUUUAGAGGAAGCACCGGCUAACUCCGUGCCAGCAGCCGCGGUAAU
rnacentral:rRNA from 1 species